rnacentral:rRNA from 1 species
AACGAACGCUGGCGGCAUGCCUAACACAUGCAAGUCGAACGAGACCUUCGGGUCUAGUGGCGCACGGGUGCGUAACGCGUGGGAACCUGCCCUUAGGUUCGGAAUAACUCCCCGAAAGGGGUGCUAAUACCGGAUAAUGUCUUCGGACCAAAGAUUUAUCGCAUUUGGAUGGGCCUGCGUUGGAUUAGCUAGUUGGUAGGGUAAAAGCCUACCAAGGCGACGAUCCAUAGCUGGUCUGAGAGGAUGAUCAGCCACACUGGGACUGAGACACGGCCCAGACUCCUGCGGGAGGGAGCAGUGGGGAAUAUUGGACAAUGGGCGAAAUCCUGAUCCAGCAAUGCCGCGUGAGUGAUGAAGGCCUUAGGGUUGUAAAGCGCGUUUACCCGGGAUGAUAAUGACAGUACCGGGAGAAUAAGCUCCGGCUAACUCCGUG